rnacentral:rRNA from 1 species
UACGUAGGGUGCAAGCGUUGUCCGGAAUUAUUGGGCGUAAAGAGCUCGUAGGCGGUCUGUCGCGUCUGCUGUGAAAACCUGGGGCUUAACCCCGGGCCUGCAGUGGGUACGGGCAGACUAGAGUGUGGUAGGGGGAGACUGGAAUUCCUGGUGUAGCGGUGAAAUGCGCAGAUAUCAGGAGGAACACCGGUGGCGAAGGCGGGUCUCUGGGCCAUAACUGACGCUGAGGAGCGAAAGCGUGGGGAGCGAACAGG